ensembl:lncRNA
AGGUUACAUGGUCAAAUCAGUUGUAUAUUACAUUGAAGUUUCUAAUUGUUUUUUCCAAAGCCUGUAAUUCUUCAGUUCAGAUUAAGCCUGGUGAACCUCUGGUGCUGGAUUUGCUCAUAUCAGAGUCAGUGGAGGUGAUUUAUAACAGCACAGGUGCAGCUGCUCCCUCUAGUGGACAGAUCUGUACAGUGGCUGGACACUCACUGAAGUGUAAACCUGAAUACACUCAGAGAGUGUUGCUUAUCUCUGCUGUGGAGCUGCAAGGAACCACACCAUCUGAUAGUGGAGUUUACAUCAUCAGAGACACUAAGCAUGAAGAGAUUAUACAGACAUACACAGUUACUGUGGAAGAAGUCCAGCCAUGUCCAGAUCAGAGCUCAACAGUGACGGUGUUGACGGUGCUCCUGGCUCUGACAGGGGCGGGGCUUGUGGCAGGAGGGCUGGUGAUUGUGCAGCUGAAGAAAAAAAAUUCAGCAGCUCCAGAAAGGAAGUACAGUGAAUGGAACAGUUACCAUCAUAAGAGAGGAGUUAAUACGAAUGGACUAAACCACUCAGAUGAAGAGCAGAGGGUAUCUCCCAUGAAAAAGUCUGAGAGAUGAUAAAUGAUUUUGCUCUCUUGUGUAUACACACACACACACACACACACACACAAACGUGCCCACCGAGCCUUGGCCGAAGAGUACCAAUGUGCCCCACAAGGACCAUAAAGAGGGCAGUUGGGUGGAGCCAACGGGAUCUCUGGGCUGGUGCAGGGCUGGUGCCAGAGUCCCUUCCCUUCUGUGGACUCGCCAGCAAGACUGGAGGGGUCUGCCCAAAGCCUCGGAGGUAAUUGGUCUUUGGGGCUCUCCAAGAGCAGUGAAGGAGAGGAGGACCAUUCGGGGGAGCAGUAUGUGUGGAACUGGGCGGACUUGCCCAAGUGCUGCAGGGCAAGGGGCAGGAUGCGCGGACAAACAUUUAUUAAUACACAAAGACAAUGGCACUCACAUAUAAUACCAACGAUGAACAUGAACACGAAACAUACAUAUAUAGAAUACAUACACAGAAUAUAUAUAUUUAUCUUGCAUAUAUACAUUUCACAUAUAGAGAAUAUCUAUAUUUCUCUAUGCACCACUGUUUUCUUUUCCUCAGUUUGGACAGAGCACUCUCCACCAUUUCACUGCGAGUUAUACUGUGUAUGACUAUGUAUGUGACGAAUAAACCAAACUUGAACUUGAAACAGUUAACAUUAAACAAAAGUAAUGAACAUGAAUACAUUUAACAACGACGAUAAGAACAAGCAUACAAGGACGAUUCUAACAUUAACAUCAACAAUGACCAACAGUCCUGCACACUAUGACAAGGGUUUAAAUACACACAAACAAGGUACAGGUUUGUGCAGAUGUGGUUACAGACAAACAAAACCCUCCCACUGCAUGCAGCAGGCCAAACCACAUGAUUCAUGAGAGGCAAGCAUUCCGUUAUAGUUAGAGACAUGAUGUAUCUGUUUACAAAAUAUAUAUGGUAAG